UCUUACGUUAUGAGUAAAUAAUGAUCUUCACUCUCCGGUCCUUCACUCGGCGGGUAAAUCAACAACAAAGGCCCUUUCCAUAGACAGAAAAAAUCACUGUCGAGAGAAGGAAAUGGAACUUAGAAAUUUGGUAUUCCUUGUCCUUCUUGGGCUUGCCAUUUUCACGUUUACCGUAGAUGCAAAGUCACUGAAA